rnacentral:rRNA from 1 species
AUUGAACGCUGGCGGCAUGCCUUACACAUGCAAGUCGAACGGCAGCACGGGUGCUUGCACCUGGUGGCGAGUGGCGAACGGGUGAGUAAUACAUCGGAACAUGUCCUGUAGCGGGGGAUAGCCCGGCGAAAGCCGGAUUAAUACCGCAUACGAUCUACGGAUGAAAGCGGGGGACCUUCGGGCCUCGCGCUAUGGGGUUGGCCGAUGGCUGAUUAGCUAGUUGGUGGGGUAAAGGCCUACCAAGGCGACGAUCAGUAGCUGGUCUGAGAGGACGACCAGCCACACUGGGACUGAGGCACGGCCCAGACUCCUACGGGAGGCAGCAGUGGGGAAUUUUGGACAAUGGGCGAAAGCCUGAUCCAGCAAUGCCGCGUGUGUGAAGAAGGCCUUCGGGUUGUAAAGCACUUUUGUCCGGAAAGAAAUCCUUGGCCCUAAUACGGUCGGGGGAUGACGGUACCGGAAGAAUAAGCACCGGCUAACUACGUG